AUGUCAGUAACACGUGGACAACCUGCCCUUAGGUUGGGUAUAAACCCGGGAAACUGGGUAUAAUACCCGAUAGGUCUCGAUUGCUGGAAUGCAUCGAGAUUUAAAGCUCCGGCGCCUAAGGAUGGGUCUGCGGCCUAUCAGGUAGUAGUGGGUGUAGCGUACCUACUAGCCUACGACGGGUACGGGUUGUGAGAGCAAGAGCCCGGAGAUGGAUUCUGAGACACGAAUCCAGGCCCUACGGGGUGCAGCAGGCGCGAAAACUUUACAAUGCUGGCAACAGCGAUAAGGGAACCUCGAGUGCCAGGUUACAAAUCUGGCUGUCGAGAUGCCUAAAAAGCAUUUCAUAGCAAGGGCCGGGCAAGACCGGUGCCAGCCGCCGCGGUAACACCGGCGGCUCGAGUGGUAACCGUUAUUAUUGGGUCUAAAGGGUCUGUAGCCGGCCGGAUAAGUCUCUUGAGAAAUCUGGCAGCUUAACUGUCAGGCUUUCAGGAGAUACUGUCUGGCUCGAGGCCGGGAGAGGUGAGAGGUACUUCAGGGGUAGGGGUGAAAUCUUGUAAUCCUUGAAGGACCACCAGUGGCGAAGGCGUCUCACCAGAACGGGCCUGACGGCAAGGGACGAAAGCUAGGGGCACGAACCGGAUUAGAUACCCGGAUAGUCCUAGCCGUAAACGAUACUCGCUAGGUGUCGGCCACGGUGCGACCGUUGUCGGUGCCGUAGGGAAGCCGUGAAGCGAGCCACCUGGGAAGUACGGCCGCAAGGCUGAAACUUAAAGGAAUUGGCGGGGGAGCAC
rnacentral:rRNA from 1 species